UACGAGGGGGGCGAGCGUUGUUCGGAAUUACUGGGCGUAAAGCGUGCGCAGGCGGUUUUGUAAGUCUGUCGUGAAAGCCCCGGGCUCAACCUGGGAAUUGCGAUGGAGACUGCAAGGCUUGAAUCUGGCAGAGGGGGGUAGAAUUCCACGUGUAGCAGUGAAAUGCGUAGAGAUGUGGAGGAACACCGAUGGCGAAGGCAGCCCCCUGGGUCAAGAUUGACGCUCAUGCACGAAAGCGUGGGGAGCAAACAGG
rnacentral:rRNA from 1 species